AGCGGCAGACGGGUGAGUAACGCGUGGGAAUCUACCUUAAGCUACGGGAUAACAGAGAGAAAUUUCUGCUAAUACCGUAUGUGGCCUAUGGGCGAAAGAUUUAUCGGCUUAAGAUGAGCCCGCGUUGGAUUAGCUAGUUGGUGGGGUAAAGGCCUACCAAGGCGACGAUCCAUAGCUGGUCUGAGAGGAUGAUCAGCCACACUGGGACUGAGACACGGCCCAGACUCCUACGGGAGGCAGCAGUGGGGAAUAUUGGACAAUGGGCGGAAGCCUGAUCCAGCCAUGCCGCGUGAGUGAAGAAGGCCUUAGGGUUGUAAAGCUCUUUCACCGGUGAAGAUAAUGACGGUAACCGGAGAAGAAGCCCCGGCUAACUUCGUGCCAGCAGCCGCGGUAAUACGAAGGGGGCUAGCGUUGUUCGGAUUUACUGGGCGUAAAGCGCGCGUAGGCGGAUAGAUAAGUCAGAGGUGAAAUCCCGGGGCUCAACCCCGGAAUUGCCUUUGAUACUGUUUAUCUUGAGUGCAGAAGAGGUAAGUGGAAUUCCNAGUGUGGAGGUGAAAUUCGUAGAU
rnacentral:rRNA from 2 species